AAAUUGAAGAGUUUGAUCAUGGCUCAGAUUGAACGCUGGCGGCAGGCCUAACACAUGCAAGUCGAACGGUAACAGAAAGCAGCUUGCUGCUUUGCUGACGAGUGGCGGACGGGUGAGUAAUGUCUGGGAAACUGCCUGAUGGAGGGGGAUAACUACUGGAAACGGUAGCUAAUACCGCAUAACGUCGCAAGACCAAAGAGGGGGACCUUCGGGCCUC
rnacentral:rRNA from 1 species